rnacentral:lncRNA from 1 species
AAAAAAAAAAAAAAUUUACACUGAAAACGGUGUUUCCCGCGUUUUCAGUUUUUUCAAGUUUUACACUGAAAACGCUCAAAACGACAAAAAAGUCGUUUUGUGUUUUCUUCACAAAUUUUUUUUUCGUUUUCGAAAAUUCGUUUUCGAAAACGGGAAAGAGAACACGUUUUCACCGUUUUGAAAAAUCGAAAACAGAAAACGCCCCGAAAACGGUAAAGAGAACAGGGCCUUAUUGUCCGAUUCUUCAAUUGGAUAAUACCUUUGUUAAGAAAGUUAUGGAGAAGGAAACAAAUUGCGAUUCGUACGAUAAGGAUGAUAUCGUCUCAGAACACUAUAAUAUCUUACUUUUAUGGAACUUAUUUGAUCAUCAAACAUCCUGCUCCAAUACUGCGAUGUUAGAUAACAUUAUAAUUUCUUGCUUUCCUGCUCCAAUGACGUGAGGCUCCACUGCAAAUCCCUUACAAUUAGUUCCAUCUUCUAUUUCCAAAGAUUUUGAUUUUGUUCAGGAUUAGGUAGACUCUGAUUAUUCAAAUUGGAAUUUCGAUCUUUGGAUUCAUGUUAGGGAGAAUUUGAUGCUGAUGAAAGUAAAUGAGGGAUCCUGUUGGGUUAAGAGAAAAAGAAAUGAUGUUGGAG